rnacentral:lncRNA from 1 species
CGGGCAUUUUGUGAUGCACUUUAUGAAGCAUAUCCAGACAUGAAAUGGGAAACCGAACGAGCCAGGAAGGUGCAGAAACUUGACAGUGAACUUGGCUGGAGCACUUUCAUGCGGUCAGUAAGCACAACAAGAAAGACAAGGAAGCUACGGAUG